UUUCUAAACGUUCUUAACGUACAUCUGUCGGGUUUGCUCUGAGAUAGUGCCCGGAUACCCAACUUGGUUACUAAAGAUUGCCAUUAGCGAGCAAAGGCGGAGCCAGCAGCUAGCGCAAAAAGCUACCAAUUUAUGCUUGGUAUUAAAUUGCCUUUGUAUGUAGUACAAAACAUCGUUUUAGACUUGCUGAACCAAAUUUUUUUAAUCAAGACUAAGUUGUAUGAACUGUCAAUCAAAUGGUGAAUGAUGCUAUUCAAACCACCUCAAGUGGAAAGGUUUGACCUGCUGACUAAUGUUUUCUACACAUCUGAUGUCUUGAUGUUUCAAUUUUUGUUUCAAUUUUUGUUUCAUUCUUUAAACGCCCUUCAGAUUUGUUCUUAGUAUAUUUAUGAUUGCUUUUAAUUAGGAAGCAAUGGUGGGGCAAGUUGCAUUUUAACCCACAAGGAACACAAAUUUAUAGCUUGAAAAAUAGCUUGCAAAACCAAUAUCAACGGUGUUGUGUAUAAUUACGUUUGUGCAGUUGAUGGAUAACUAAGUUUUUGCCGCACUAACAGUUGCUACUGCCAGGGCACAUGGGAACAGAUAAAUAAAUGAACACAUCGAUUUUACAUAUUGUCAUAAAUGUUCUACAUGUGCACUGUGAACAUUUACAUGGAAUGUAACAACAUUUGCUAGCAACACUAAUGAGUGUACAUGGCAUUGAGCGUUAUCAUUAAACUAAUGUUCAACUUUGUUUCUAGAAUUUGAAGUAGGUCUCUUGAGUAUAUAUUUUGUAUACAUUUUUGAAGCAGUUUUAAAAGGGGCAGGAGAUGGUGAUCAUAUAGCUUCAAUUUUACAACAUCAAAUCUCAAUAGUAUUGUACAUGUCUCACAAAAGAAGAAACACUAGCUGCAUAUGUUGACAGCGUUAGGGCAUAUAAGUCUCUGAUUUGCUGUGGAUCGUGCAAUUGAAUCAAUACUCACGAAACUGUUAUUUCCCAAAAUAACUCAGGGCUAUCUGAAGCAGAGGAAUAUGUCUGCAACCAUGCAAAGUCGCACACAUACUGUUCAUGAUCGAGACAUCUCUAUAUCAUACAACAGCUAGCGAACAAUUGUGUGCCGUUACUUGUAAUAUCUCAUUCCAAUUUAUGUAGGAACCAAAGAGGCUAUGAAGAGAGCCCUUGAACCCUUAAAUUAACCAAACAGUGGGAAAUGACAGUGAAUGAUUCUCUUGAGGGAGACACUCAUUCAAGGCAUGCUAGUAAUGUGACUGCAUACAUAUUCGUGUCCUACAUUCAAGGAACCUGUUGAAGAAGGUCUCUAAUAUGCAUGAAAGAUUAUUGGUGCUUACUAUAUGUACUGAUUUUUUUAAAGUUAUUUUCUAGAAGUCCUUGAGAUAAGAAUCAAAUAACCCUGAUCUAAUAUGUCUAGACACAGAGGAGAAGGGCAUGUUUGAGAAAUCUGAAGAUCAAUCCAUAUCUAUACUUCAACCCCUAUGAGAAAGUAGCAGCAAGUUCAAACUGCAAAAUAUCCUUUGUUGAAUUGGUACAGACAACUGACAUCAGUAGCUCCAGGCAGUUAUACGGCCCUAUUGUCCCUAUUUAUUGACGGUCAACAUCGGAAGUGGGAUAUGUAGCAACACCAGCCUAUCAACAUCAUCAUCUUCAAUGGCGAAUGGGAUGUCAAGCAUUCUUUAUCUCCAAUAAGGCCUUCAUGCAAGCAGUCCUGUAGUAACAAGAAUUCAAGGUGAAGAUGCAUUUUCUGCAUCUGUGCAACUGCAACAGGAUCAAUGUACAGUUUGCCCCAUUGAUAGAUUAGUACCAGAGUAGAGUAGGAUAGAUGAUUUUCUAGAUUUGCCUGGUAUUCAAGAACAAUGUCUAAAAACUAUGCAAGAGUGAGACCAUGCAAUGACAAAUUUGCACUAUCAAUAUUUAGUACGACCUCUACUGUUUGCAAAAAACAGACAUAAAUAUAGUUUUGGAUCUACAUUGCCUAAGACUCUCACACACGUUUAGUAUCUCGUCUUCCAGUUCCGUCUUGUUCUUUGGUGGCUUCUUCUCUACUUCACGUUUCAUUCAACUCCAUAAAUUUUCUAUUGGAAUCAGGUCCGGUGAGUUGGCAGGCCAGCUAGUCACUAGCGUACGUUUCUGCUAGUGAGAAACUCGAUCUUUCGUUCUUCUAGACUUGCCAGCUGGUGCCUUCUCCUGGUGCAGCCUCCAACCACCAUUCCAAUCCUAAACAUAUACCUGAUGACGAUGAUCUAACUCAGCUGCGUACUGACUCAGGAUAGAUGCUUUUGUAUGUAUGGCAUGUGUUUCUCACUAUUUGGUUCGUUUAUAUAUUCUA